UUGCAGAGUCGAGGAUGCCCUCUCCUUGGUAUACAUGCUACACCGAGCUUACAAUCUAAGCAGAAACUCUUCGUUGAUCAUGGAUGGCAGAGAGCUGUUGCAUGGGAUAUGCUGCAGAUAUAUAAUGAAUUUAUCGAAAUUCAAGAAAAACACAGGAUCGAACGGCUAGAGUUGUUUGAUGAGUUUGAAGAGUGGUAC